GUGUCAGCCGCCGCGGUAAUACCAGCUCUCCGAGUGGUGGGGACGUUUAUUGGGCCUAAAGCAUCCGUAGCCAGCUGAGCAAGUCCCCAGUUAAAUCCAGCGAUUUAAUCGUUGGACUGCUGGGGAUACUGUCCGGCUAGGGGGUGGGAGAGGCCGACGGUAUUCCCGGGGUAGGGGUGAAAUCCUAUAAUCCCGGGAGGACCACCAGUGGCGAAGGCUGUUGGCUAAAACAUGCCCGACGGUGAGGGAUGAAAGCUGGGGGAGCGAACCGGAUUAGAUACCCGGGUAGUCCCAGCUGUAAACGAUGCAGGCUAGGUGUUAGGGCGGCCACGUGCCGCUCUAGUGCCGCAGGGAAGCUGUUAAGCCUGCCGCCUGGGGAGUACGGCCGCAAGGCUGAAACUUAAAGGAAUUGGCGGGG
rnacentral:rRNA from 1 species